AUGAGGAAUGAACAUGGCCUUCUUGUGCCCAAACAGAACAGACAGAGAGCUGAAAAGUUGCACAUUUCCACUGCUCAUAGAAUGAGCAAAUCAGCUGUGCAUCAUCUCUGGGAUUUGAGCAGGAAAUGACUGAAUAUGGAAGAUUAAGCUAGUUGAUGAAGAUAUCAAUUCAGUGGCCACCAAGUGCUGCACUGCUGCCUGAACCCAUCAGGUAUCUGCUGUGAAGACU